rnacentral:rRNA from 1 species
CCAGAUUUCUGCUCAUAUCAUUAAAAUAAAAUAAUUACACAAACAUAAAUUACAGCCAAAAGUAAAAAGGAAACUGAAACCCACUAAAAAAUUACACAAACAGAAAUUACAGAAAAGUCAAGCACUUUGAAGUUUUUUUUUUGAGAAAGUGUAGUCGUAUUCAUAUGAAAGCAGAGUACAGCAUCACGGCGUCGAGCUUAUUAGGCUAGGAUCCACUAGAUCCACUACCAGCCAUCAUCCUCCACCACGGAAGGACACCUAGGAUGGGAUCUCGCGGCGUGUGGUGCUGGUGCCCCUGGAUUCACGCUCCUCAAACAAGCAUGGGAGGGGAUCACGAGCACGCCGCCGCUUCGGUGUCCAUCGCCAUCUAGCUCCCGUCUGCGCCGGCUUGGACGCGUAGACGCGGGGUCACAAGCCCGUCGCCGCCGGAGUACCAAUUACGUUGGUGACCUCGAGCACGCCCCUCGGCUAUUCCGUCGCGCCAGGCCCAUCCAAGUCCACGAGCCCGUCGUGGUUCUCUCCGUUCGGCACGCCAACGAGGGAGCCGAUCGUGCCCUGCAGCGACUCGGGCACAGGACACAGCAACGGCACCGGCGCCAGGUCGGCCUUCAGGGGCGUCGCCGCCAAUAUGGACGAGGCCGUCGUCGAGGCGGCAAGCGCCCUGCAGCUACACGGGUACCGGUCGCGGGUGAAGCAGAAGCCAUCCCGCUGGCGCUGUACACCGCGUCCGCCGUCGCACCGUUUGGCCUUCGGUGGCAGCGUCCGGCACAGCGCUGCUGCCCGGCGACCGGUCGAUGCAGACCCCUCGGCGGCCCAGCGCGGCAACCGCAACGGGUUCGAUGGCGGCCUGAGCGUGGUGGACUCGUUGGGGAUGGCGGCCUGAGCGUGGUGGAUUCGUUGGGGAUGGCGGCCUUCGGUGAGGUGACGGAGGAAGUGGAAGAUCUGGAAGAUGUGGAUUAGGGGACGGAGAAAGGAAGGCGCUGGGAGGAUCUGGAAGCGGGAUGCUCGGCGGAAUAAAGAGGCGAAUA